ACAACAGACUUACGCAGAAGAAUUAGUAUGUUGCCAGGACAAACAUUAGGUCCUACAGCACUUGGGGUUCCAGUGCUCCAACAACUGUGUUUAGCUGGAAGCAAAGUAGCAGUGGGCUUGUUGACUUGAAAGCCUGGCAGCUAAGGUUGGAAAAGACUCAGGAAUCUCCAUACCUUAUUGUAACUGAAUGUGCCACCUUUAACUGGCUGUACCUGGAACCCUUAACAAGGCUUAUACUGGCUCGGGAGAAGAGGGUGGAGGAUGAGACCUGGUGAGGAUGGCUGUUGCUAACAGAUGAGGGAAGAUCACUGUCUCCUCAGCCCAUCACACAGGUUCUAAAGAAUUUGGCAAACAUUUUUGUUAGUUGUGACUGUUGUCUGUGCCUUUGGGGAAGUGCUGAAGUUCUGUGAGAAUAACCAAUUCCUGAGCCAGCAGAAGCCUAGAAAGAAUUUGGAAUCUUGUGAGAAAUUCAGAUCUGGCAAGAUAUCCAGACUGACUUCCCAACAAAAGUCGUCUGGGCAAACCCCAGAGAAUUCAGAUGCAUAUUCCACUGGAGCCUCCAAACCUGCUGAGGUUUCUCAUUGUUGACGGUCUGGAACUGAUGGGAGCAGACGUUUGCCAAAACUGUUGCUGAAGGGUGGGCAUUAUGGGAAAACCAGCUGCACCCUAUUGUUCCCAGCCAUGCGAGGACUGCACCAAGCAGCCGUGAACCAGAGCAAGCAAACGCAUUGUAGAUAUACAAGCUGCAACGAAGAGAAGGGCCUGCUGUGAGCUGCAGGCUGUACAAGUAAGAGAUGGUUCUGAAGAGCUUACAAUCUGAAUGGACAAGCCAAAGGAUGGACGAAAGGAUGUAUUAAACCCAGGGUUGGCAAUGUCCCAUGUUUCCCACGAGCAGACCCAUCGUUGGUCUGGCUUCUCACAUGCUACUCUGCUGAAAUAUCAGGCAGUAAAUGGAGAUUUGCCAGUGAACUGUGGAAAGAGCUAAGUGCUGAAGGCGAGAGGGGGCCCAGCUAUGCUUCCAACCCUUGGCACGUGUGCAGGGAGUGGAGGGAAGCGCAGCACCAGAGAAGAGGCUGGAGGCACCACGGCACACGAGAACAUGCUGGCCGCCGGGGAGAAGGUACAAGGACCCACCCCAUCCCAGUGGACAGAAGAAGAGAAUGAGGGAGAACCUUUCUUGACCCACUGGCUUCCCAGCCCCACGUGGAGCUCAGGACUGAUGUGGUAAAAAUGCUGAAGAUGUAGAGACAUGUCUAUGCUAUAGCCUCUACUGGAACUGACACCCCAGCAAUUGUUUUGAAUUUUGAUGAAAUUCUGUUGAUUAUGUGGGCCUUUCACAUUGCAACAGGGGAAAACUAUUGAAAGAAAUAAGAGAACAUGACUGUAAACCUACAUUUUAAUGGAUUACAUUUAAAGUUGAUAAUGUCCCCUUUUAAAAAUAUAUUAUAAUUCCUUAAAUUACUAAAGUGAAGAAGUUUAACAUUCUAUUAAUGAUUCAUUCUCUGUUUACGCUGCUUGGUUAUUGUUUGCUCUUUCUUCAUCUUGGGCAAUAGAGAUAAUCUGUUUCACUUCUGUUUAUUAAAGAUGGUUUAAUUUCUUGCCAACUACUGACUAGUGCAAUGAUGCAACAUUUGGGUUGCAAAUGCUGCAGGGGAAUGUUAAUUUGUGUUAACAACAAAAUUCUUUCCACUGGUAUUUAAAAAUAAUCCUGGAUACUUCAGGUGGUCGAAGUGUUGUAAAUGCUUUGUUGUUUUUACAAAACCUAAAUUUAUUUUUGUUUUAGAACAGCCAUAAUUGCUCUUCAUGUCAGAUCUGAUCAUCAGUUUACAAGCCAAGGGCAAGUUUUUCAAGCUGCCCAGGUUCGCAGCUCCAUAUUGUGACUGCCGCUAUUGGUUCCUGUUGAUUUAAAUGGAAAUCUUUUGCUACAGGUCCUUUAUCUCUUAAGUAGCUCUACAUUUUUCUUCCCUUCAGAUUUGUAUGAAGCAGAGAAUGGGAUCAGUUACAGAGAGUCACCCUAUCUUACUAGCCAGUGGAAUAAGGAACAGGAUUCUCUAAAACCUUGCACCUUGUGCAAUAUUUUAGGCCUGUGAAAAGUAAGAUAAAAGGAGACUACUGGUGUAAGUGGAGAAUUCUGAGGUUAACAGUGUUUUACAUUCAGCAUGCACAGGAAUAAAUUCUCUUACAAAAUGCAAGAUGGUGGAGAAGGUGAUGAUUUAAUCAUGUGGCUACUAGAGUGAUAAAUGUCAUCCAUUGGCUGAGUGGAAAAGAGUGGGUGGAGCCAAAGUACUAUAGUAUCUGCCACUGAACUCUUGUAUUUGUGUUGCAGGGGAAGGGAUUUAUCAUUGCUGAUCAAGUUUGUAGUUAUAAACUUUUGAAGUAUUUUCUGAAUAGUGUUUUGUUUGUUGUUUUGUUUACAGUGGUUGCC